rnacentral:misc_RNA from 1 species
GUGUGUGUGUGUGUGUGAGUGCAUGAUGCAUUUAUGUUGGUUCUGGUCAACCAGUUACCUGUGUUUCUUCCAUAUCCGUGUCUUGGUUGUUUACUAUCUAAAUAAAUGAUCAACUGAUUUUUUUUUUAUCAUUUUUCAUAAAUAAUUCAUUAUUGAUUCCUAGUUUUUGAGAUCUAUUAUUUUAUUUUUGUUUUGUUUUCAGGAUAAAGGUAGGCUAAUUGCCAAUCUGAAAAUCAUUCAGGACU